rnacentral:rRNA from 1 species
GACGAACGCUGGCGGCGCGCCUAACACAUGCAAGUCGAACGAGCGAGAGAGAGCUUGCUUUCUUGAGCGAGUGGCGAACGGGUGAGUAACGCGUGAGGAACCUGCCUCAAAGAGGGGGACAACAGUUGGAAACGACUGCUAAUACCGCAUAAGCCCACGGCUCGGCAUCGAGCAGAGGGAAAAGGAGCAAUCCGCUUUGAGAUGGCCUCGCGUCCGAUUAGCUAGUUGGUGAGGUAACGGCCCACCAAGGCGACGAUCGGUAGCCGGACUGAGAGGUUGAACGGCCACAUUGGGACUGAGACACGGCCCAGACUCCUACGGGAGGCAGCAGUGGGGAAUAUUGCACAAUGGGGGAAACCCUGAUGCAGCGACGCCGCGUGGAGGAAGAAGGUCUUCGGAUUGUAAACUCCUGUUGUUGAGGAAGAUAAUGACGGUACUCAACAAGGAAGUGACGGCUAACUACGUGCCAGCAGCCGCGGUAAAACGUAGGUCACAAGCGUUGUCCGGAAUUACUGGGUGUAAAGGGAGCGCAGGCGGGAAGACAAGUUGGAAGUGAAAUCCAUGGGCUCAACCCAUGAACUGCUUUCAAAACUGUUUUUCUUGAGUAGUGCAGAGGUAGGCGGAAUUCCCGGUGUAGCGGUGGAAUGCGUAGAUAUCGGGAGGAACACCAGUGGCGAAGGCGGCCUACUGGGCACCAACUGACGCUGAGGCUCGAAAGUGUGGGUAGCAAACAGGAUUAGAUACCCUGGUAGUCCACACUGUAAACGAUGAUUACUAGGUGUUGGAGGAUUGACCCCUUCAGUGCCGCAGUUAACACAAUAAGUAAUCCACCUGGGGAGUACGACCGCAAGGUUGAAACUCAAAGGAAUUGACGGGGGCCCGCACAAGCAGUGGAGUAUGUGGUUUAAUUCGACGCAACGCGAAGAACCUUACCAAGUCUUGACAUCCCUUGACGAUGCUGGAAACAGUAUUUCUCUUCGGAGCAAGGAGACAGGUGGUGCAUGGUUGUCGUCAGCUCGUGUCGUGAGAUGUUGGGUUAAGUCCCGCAACGAGCGCAACCCUUAUGGUCAGUUACUACGCAAGAGGACUCUGGCCAGACUGCCGUUGACAAAACGGAGGAAGGUGGGGAUGACGUCAAAUCAUCAUGCCCUUUAUGACUUGGGCUACACACGUACUACAAUGGCGUUAAACAAAGAGAAGCAAGACCGCGAGGUGGAGCAAAACUCAGAAACAACGUCCCAGUUCGGACUGCAGGCUGCAACUCGCCUGCACGAAGUCGGAAUUGCUAGUAAUCGCAGAUCAGCAUGCUGCGGUGAAUACGUUCCCGGGCCUU